rnacentral:rRNA from 1 species
AUUGAACGCUGGCGGCAGGCCUAACACAUGCAAGUCGAGCGGUAGAGAGAAGCUUGCUUCUCUUGAGAGCGGCGGACGGGUGAGUAAUGCCUAGGAAUCUGCCCGGUAGUGGGGGACAACGUUUCGAAAGGAACGCUAAUACCGCAUACGUCCUACGGGAGAAAGUGGGGGCUCUUCGGACCUCACGCUAUCGGAUGAGCCUAGGUCGGAUUAGCUAGUUGGUGGGGUAAGGGCCCACCAAGGCGACGAUCCGUAACUGGUCUGAGAGGAUGAUCAGUCACACUGGAACUGAGACACGGUCCAGACUCCUACGGGAGGCAGCAGUGGGGAAUAUUGGACAAUGGGCGAAAGCCUGAUCCAGCCAUGCCGCGUGUGUGAAGAAGGUCUUCGGAUUGUAAAGCACUUUAAGUCGGGAGGAAGGGCUGCCGGUUAAUACCCUGCAGCCUUGACGUUACCGACAGAAUAAGCACCGGCUAACUUCGUGC